rnacentral:lncRNA from 1 species
AAUGCAUCUUAGUUAUCUAUCUUUAAAUUCGGUUUAGGUUUACUAUUAUCAUCAGUUUGCUACUAGUUAUUUGUAAUAAAUGCCUCAAGAUUAAUAAAGAGUAUUAUUAUUAUUAUUAUGUUUUGUGUGUCUCUACUUUAUUUUUGUGCAAGAAAUUAGAAAACAAGUAUGGGGGAGAUCCCUCAACAUGCCAAACACACUCCGACUACACCACUCCACGAUUUAGGUACACACUCUGCACACUUUACUUUACACCUACACAUAUCUUAGAUUAUGCAGAAUACUGUUUCCGACAUGAUAAAUUAAAAAGAUUAAAACAUUUCUAAUCAUGAUUAAUCUCACUCUGUUAUAUUUCCUGAAACUUGCAAUUAUUAUAAAAUCAUUUUAAAACCAUGUGUUACUUAAGAUAGUAUGGAAUGUGAGAUGGUAGAGUACGAGUUUCUUAUUCUUGAUAUCAUUGUUGCUUGGAGAAUUUAUUUUAAAAUCUUCAAAAUUCUAGCUACCAUCCUCAGUGUUUUAUAUGCUUGAUAAAACUGAAAAUAUUAAAUAUGAUUAUAAAAGCUAUCUACUCUGUAUUGAGUUUGUUCAAAAUGAGUUAGACCCUUGUUGAGAGAUUUAUCAUGCUCCUAAGAUCAAGACAUUUAUUCAGAAAGAUUCACUCUUCCAAAGUAUUCUUGCAUUAGAGGCAUGGGCUAUGCAAAAAUAAAGAUAUUUCGAGGAAAUAAAAAGGAGCAAGUGCUCGACAACCUCGCAGAAAAAAUGGACAAGUGUCCAGCAGUAGAAUUAGGGAUACCUCGGUAUCCACUUAAAAAAAAGAAGAAAAAGAGAAAAUGAUAGCCCAUGGUCCCUCUAAUAAGCAAUAUGCCAGCAAGAGUUGACAAAGAUUUUAAUUUCCAAAGUCUUUGAUCUAAGAGUAUGACAUUCCCCUCCUCGGAUCCCGUUUUGAUCAGGCAAUAAAUGCAAAGUAAGUAUGCUUAAGAAUUUUUGCAAAUUAAAACAGCCUCAGUAAGAUAUAUAGAAGAUAAUGAGUGACCUGAGAGAACCUAUGAGGAUAAAAGGUAUGCUAACUUUCUUUCAAAAAUAUACAAAAACUCCAAGUGACAAGGAUUGAGAAGAAAGGAUCUUUACUCUUAACCAUAUACUUCCCUGACUACAGUACACAGUGGAAUUUUAACACCCUGCAAAUAUAAAGAAUGCUUUAAAAUGUUUUACCCCAAAUAUUGUUCUUAACCAUCCUUUUCUCGAGGACGAGUAAAAGCCUAAGUAUGGGGGUAUUUGUUGAUGGUUCUUAAGUACCAAUUUUAAUUAUCAAAUAAACAAGAGAAAGGACCAAUAUGCAAACAACACCUAGAAUUAGGGUUUGAUCUGACAGAAUUCCACGAGUUUUGUUGUUUAUCUGUUUCUGCAGGGGGUUAUCAGGAAAUAAGGAAGAAAGGCCCACA